AUACGUAGGUGACAAGCGUUAUCCGGAUUUACUGGGCGUAAAGGGCGUGUAGGCGGUCUUGCAAGUCAGAAGUGAAAUUCCUGAGCUCAACUCGGGCGCUGCUUCUGAAACUGCAGGACUUGAGUGCUGGAGGGGAGAGCGGAAUUCCUAGUGGAGCGGUAAAAUGAGCAGAUAUUAGGAAGAACACCGGUGGCGAAGGCGGCUAUCUGGACAGUAACUGACGCUGGGGCGCGAAAGCGUGGGGAGCAAACAGGAUUAGAUACCCGGGUAGUCCACGCCGUAAACGAUGAAUACUAGGUGUAGGGGGUAUCGACUCCCUCUGUGCCGCAGUUAACGCAAUAAGUAUUCCGCCUGGGGAGUACGGCCGCAAGGUUGAAACUCAAAGGAAUUGGCGGGG
rnacentral:rRNA from 1 species